AGUUGUGUCACCCUCCUUUCUGAGUCCUUUAGAUAUGAUUUAUGUUUGGUUCAAAAAGGAGUUCAAAUCUGAUUUGAAUCCAUGAUAAGAUCAAAGCUUGUUUGAAGUUGAACCAAACUAUCCAAACUCUUCAUGGGACACCACUUUAAGAAGGGCUAAUUUUUUGUACACCAAUUAAGAUCAGAUUUGGCAUGAGAGAACCAC
rnacentral:lncRNA from 1 species